CUGGAUUUGGAGAAGGCUGAGGUUCUCAAUGACUUCUUUGCCUCAGUCUUCACCGGCAAGUGCUCUGACCACACCGCCCAAGUCCUGGAAGGCAGAUACAGGGACUCAGUGAAUGAAGACCUUAGGCCCACUGUAGGAG